GAUGAACGCUGGCGGCGUGCCUAAUACAUGCAAGUCGAGCGAACGGACGAGAAGCUUGCUUCUCUGAUGUUAGCGGCGGACGGGCGAGUAACACGUGGAUAACCUACCUAUAAGACUGGGAUAACUUCGGGAAACCGUAGCUAAUACCGGAUAAUAUUUUGAACCGCAUGGUUCAAAAGUGAAAGACGGUCUUGCUGUCACUAUAGAUGGAUCCGCGCUGCAUUAGCUAGUUGGUAAGGUAACGGCUUACCAAGGCAACGAUGCAUAGCCGACCUGAGAGGGUGAUCGGCCACACUGGAACUGAGACACGGUCCAGACUCCUACGGGAGGCAGCAGUAGGGAAUCUUCCGCAAUGGGCGAAAGCCUGACGGAGCAACGCCGCGUGAGUGAUGAAGGUCUUCGGAUCGUAAAACUCUGUUAUUAGGGAAGAACAUAUGUGUAAGUAACUGUGCACAUCUUGACGGUACCUAAUCAGAAAGCCACGGCUAACUACGUG
rnacentral:rRNA from 1 species